rnacentral:rRNA from 1 species
GAUGAACGCUGGCGGCGUGCCUAAUACAUGCAAGUCGAGCGAACGGACGAGAAGCUCGCUCUCUUGAUGUUAGCGGCGGACGGGCGAGUAACACGUGGAUAACCAACUUCUAAUACGGGGAGAACAACGGGAAACCGCAGCCAAUACUGGAUCAUACUUUGAACGGGAUGGUGCAAAAGAGCUAGACGGCUUUGCCGUCACUUAUAGACGGAGUCGCGCUGCAUUAGCUAGUUGGUAAGGUAACGGCUUACCAAGGCGACGAUGCAUAGCCGACCUGAGAGGAUGAUCAGCCACACUGGAACUGAGACACGGUCCAGACUCCUACGGGAGGCAGCAGUAGGGAAUCUUCCACAAUGGGCGCAAGCCUGACGGAGCAACACCGCGUGAGUGAUGAAGGUCUUCGGAUCGUAAAGCUCUGUUGUUAGGGAAGAAAAUCUGUGUAAGUAACUGUGCACGUCUUGACGGUACCUAAUCAGAAAGCCACGGCUAACUUCGUG